UAUGAAACAUUUGAAUUGCUGUAUUUCUCAAAACUUUUUUCAGUAUCUGGCGUUCACAUAUGUAAUGUUGUUGUAGCGGCAAGAAACAUUUCUGAAGUAAUUUGGAGGAAAACAGGCGAGUUGACAGUCCUUGGCUGGAUAAAGAUCCGGAUCCGUUCUGGUUAUACAAACCCGACGGUCGAGGGGAUAGAGUUUCUAUUAUAUAAAAUUUCCAAAUUACUUUUCACUUAUAAUUCCGAAAUUUGGUAGAAGAUAGGCAUCGCGUGAAUGCUGCUCUUUUUACUGUGCCAGAAUACAGCGGUAAGAAUAUUUGUACAACGAUAGGUCGUAGGAUUAGAUUACUGAAAAAAUAGAUAACAUAGAACCGGUUAUGGUGAUAAAUAUAUAUUUCCCAUAAAAUAUGGCUGAUUUCAUAUUAAUUUUUUUAUUGACGGUCUUAACACGUAAUUAACAUAACAAUACAUUUUGAUGUGCCAAUUACGUUUCUGUGAUUAGCUUAACGGUUAUAUUUCUUGUUGUUGUUGUAGCAUCAGAACUCUGCCGUGUUGACAGUCCUUGGCCGGAUAACAAUUCGGGUCCGUUCCGGUUACGUAGACCCGAUUGUCGUGGGAACGAACGUUCAUUUUGCAGUUGGCAACUCUUUAUUUUUAAUUAUUGUUGGCAAUAUCAUUUGUGUAGUUGGCAAUUCCGGUUACAAUAGUAAAGUGAAAAUUUUUCCUCCUCUUUAGUGUGUUUUCCAGCUUUUCCGCUUUUAUUUGUGUAUAAAAACGUUAGAAACAAACAUUUUAAUAAAUAAAUGUAUAUCAAUAAAUGAAUAUGUGCAAGAAAUAAUUAAAAAUAUAUCGCAGAUAUAUUGGAAAUGCUUAGAUAAGCUUAAUGUGAAAUAAGUGCUGUUUGUCGUUGUUAAGAGGACGAGAAAAUCCAUGUGUACAAUAAAAGGCGUGAAGCAUACACCAUAAGAAAAUGCGCAUCUUAACAGAGAAAUAACUUUUCUUCUAAGAAAACCAGAAUACAUAUAUAGCUUCAAUCAUUCUUACAACAGAAAAAUUUGUGCCACAUACAGUAUAAUAUUAAUAAACACAAUUUAUUAAAUAAAUGGGCGGUAAUAGUACAACAAAUACUUUUACCGCUGGUGGCUAUAUUGGGCCUGCUAGCGGAAGUAGUGUUGGUGGUAGCAGUGGCGGUGCAGUAGGCGGUGAUCUCAUACCAAAUAUGAGUGCUGCUAGUGGUACUUCUUAUGCUUACGGCACAAGUUGGGAGGAAUUCUGUGAACGUCAUUCACGUGUAGCGGCCGCUGACUUUGCCAAAGCUUGUAUAAACUAUAUAAAUGGAAACUUGCCACCCGAAGAGGCGCGCAAUAUUUCAUAUCGCAGCUUUGGACAGAAGUUUGCCGAGGCAUUUGUGGAUCAUUUCGAAACCGAAUUUUGCCAUAGACGUAGUAAUGCUAAGACUGGUAAUGGAAAUUCAUUAGAGGAAAGUGGCAACACAGUCGAAGAUUCACCGAAAAUUUUUCACAAAGCAUUCUUUCGAAGGCUUUCGUUCAAAGGUCUGCGCAAGGGCAAGAAUUUCUUGUUCCUGCAGACACUUUUUCAUAAGAACAGCGAUGAUUUAGAUGGCAGCAAACACAGCAAGACAAAGAUCUCGAAAAUUAUUGUCGAAUGUCGUAAAGAAGGUUACGUCUAUAAUUUAACACCGGAAAGCUUGGAUCAACCAACAGGCACACAAAAAUGGGAAAAAUGUCGCCUGGCACUGGUGAAAGCUGUUGGCGGCUAUAUGUUGGAGUUUUACACACCACCUAAAGCUACAAAGCCUCGAAGUGGCGUGUUUUGUUUCCUAAUAUCGGAGGCGAGAAAAACAACUCGACUUGAAAUGCCCGACCGUGAAAAUACUUUUGUUUUGAAGGCAGAUAACAAUAUGGAAUAUGUUAUUGAGGCAGAGAGCAGUGACGAAAUGCACAGCUGGUUAGCAACUAUACGUUACUGCAUGCGUACACCGCCCACGCAGCAAUUGCCCUUGGAAUCGGCAGAUGCAUUACUUACUGGAGGUGGUGGUGUCGGCGGGAUAAUGGGUGGCAUUUCAGCGACAUCUUCAAUGGCUAUGAGUCCGAGUGGCAAUUUAACUUCCACAGAUGGCACUAUCCCACGCAGCGGUGGCAUUAAUAAUCCCCAAUACCAUCAAACAAACAUAAUUGGCUCUAACGGCAAUGUCGGCCCAAGCAGUUCGCAAUCGGACAAUGCAUUGGUAUCUGCUAAUGCGAGCGUAGGUGCAACAGCAACUAUUGGUAAUGAUGUAAAUGCAAUGGAAGGUAUACCCGAUAUACCACCGAGACGUGUCGGACCUGGCGAAAGAGGUGAACAACGCCUAUCGGCAUCGAGUAAUUUCGAACCCGAAUGUGAUACCGAAUUAGAUAUAAAUGUAGCUGAUUUGACGGCCGAAAUGCGGCAGUAUCCAUGGUUUCAUGGUACACUGCCGCGUUCAGAAGCGGCUCGUAUGGUAUUACAUUCAGAAGCGGCAGGACAUGGUUUUUUUUUAGUGCGCCAAAGUGAAACGCGCAAAGGUGAAUUUGUGCUGACAUUCAAUUUCCAAGGGCGUGCUAAACAUUUACGUAUGACCUUGUCGGAGAAGGGCCAAUGCCGCGUGCAGCAUUUAUGGUUUCCUUCGAUUCAGGAGAUGCUCGAGCACUUUCGGCACAAUCCAAUACCAUUAGAAUCGGGCGGUACAUCAGAUGUUACACUAACCGAGUGGGUACAUAAUCAAGGAACUUCGUGUAGCGGCACAAAUGAUGCCAGUAGCAAUGAGACAAACGGUGCGCAUCAACAACAACCACAACAACAACAGCAACAGCAUCCAUCACCGAGACAUGUGAGAUAGCCUAAAUUUUGGAGUCCAUUCAGUCCGCAGCAUGUAAUCACAUUGAACAUGAGUGUGCGUUUAAAAACGUGCGAAAUUGAGUUACCGUUUUUACAACAGCCGCAUCACCAUCAUAUACAUUUACAACCGUCGCAAAUAUCAACACAGCAGCAGCAACAAUCACAACCGCAUCAGCUUCAGCAGCAGCAACAACAACAACUAAACGCGCCACAACUACGAGCAUCAACAGUAUCACUACAAUCGCCGAAUUCACAUCAUAAUACUAGUGCAAGAGUUGCGAGCAUUAACGAUUUGAACGCAAAUGAAAUGGGUCCACGCGCGGUCGACAACCAGUACAGUUUUGUGUAACUCAAUUCCGCUACGAAUAAUUUAUCCUUGGCAAAGCCGAAAUACAGUAAAAACUAUAUUUACCUACAUACAUACUAUAUGUAUACAUACUUACAUAAGUGAAUGUAAACUUAAAGCAGCUAGUAUUUUUCAUUGCCUUCCACAUGAAAAUUACAUAACUCGACAGAUUUUACCAUGAUUUCCUUGUAAAUUAACAAUAUUUCGUUAAACUUCUAAUGUGUUCAUAUACCUAACGAAAAAAUGCAUGUAUGUUUAUUUGGUAUUUGUUAAAACAGACAUGCAUAUUUGAAUGAUUUGUAAAUGUAGGCAUAAAAAAUAUUUAGGAGUUUUUUUUCCUCUACAUUUCGUAAAGCAAAAAUUAUUAUAUAUAUAUAAUAUAAUUAUUAGGGUUUUAGUUAAAUUAAGGUUGACUGCGCGUUGUUGCAUAUUGAAAUUAAAAGUACAUAUGUAUAUACCUAUGUCUUAAACUGUUCAGUUUUUACUUGAAAUAUAAAUUUCCUGUGUAUUUAAGUAUUUAAGUAAGUAAUGCUUUAUCAACUAAUAACUCACUAUUGGUUCCGAAACUUUUACUAAACAGUUGUAAAUAUUAUUUGCUCAAUAGCCGAUAUAUAUAUACAUAUAUAUUAAAGAAAAAUAUGCUAUAGCUGAUAUUUAAAAUUUUCAAUUAGAUUUCUCCUAAAAACAAAAGGCUGCUUAAGUAGUAGAUAUUAAUCGUAAGUGCAUAAUUUUUAAGCAAACACACAAGUUAGGUUUUUCGACUUAUGUAUAUUCAGGUUAAUGAGAAGUUAUUAAAAAAAAUUAACUGUAAGCUAAAAAAAUUGCAUACAAUACUCAACAAGUAGGAAAGAUAACAUUGAAAAAGACAAAACAAUUUAUUUACAUGCGUUGUUGUUGUCGUCGCAACAUAAAUAUAAUAAAUAAGGUUUAAGUAAAUUCUACUGGGGAGACAAUACUUGACCUGAUAUAGGUAUGUAAAUCCAGUUAUGUAAACAUCUUUUAUAUAAGAUGUAAUUAAAUGAUGAAUUCGAAGAAAUUAACACAAUGAAAUAUAGAAAUUUAUUCUUUAAAAACUUGCAAUUUUUUUCGGCACACUGUAGAACUUAACGCAAAACAUUUUUAAAAUGUGUAUAUCUGUACAUAUAUAAACAUUACAACGUUUAUAGUCAUUUCCAAAAGCUAGAAUGGCUUAUUGGUGGAGUUUAAGUUUGUAAAAAUGUCGUUCUAAAAAAAUUAAGAUACGGUUUUUACGUUUAUAUGCAGAGCAUUAAUAUAUAUGGUGCUUUUAUUUACACCCUGAACAGGAUAUAUUAAGUUUGCCACGAAGUUUGGAAACGUCGAAAACCCUAAAAAAAUAUAUAUGGUAUAUAAAUGAUCAGCAUUACGAGCUGAGUCGCUUUGCCAUCGUUUGUUUGUCCGUCCGUCUACAGCAUUUAGCUGUCAUAUCACCUCUCCGAUCAAAUUCAUGUGCUUGUAUGGAAAACUUUUUUAUUUGAUAAAUUAUCUUCACGAAAUUUGGCAGAGAUUAUUUUCUGUGGGCGCAGAAAUUGUUCAGAUCGGACCCUUUAUAGCAUAUAGCUGCCAUACAAACUGACCGAUCCAAAUCAAGUUCUUGUAUGGAAUGUUUUGUAUUUGUGAAGGAUAUUAUAGUUAACGUUUUUUAUUCUUUUGUUUUUCACUUUUCCCCCCCUCUAGGCCAAAACAUAAAAUUUUUGGUCAUUGCAAGUGUUUUUACGUAUACGUGUGUGUAUACAUUCUUCAUAUUCAUCAAUUAAGAAGUGAAAAGUGGUUGUAAUACUAAAAUUGAAGAUUUUCUCUAUGACAAAAACAAAAAGUGUGUCUGAACAUACUAGAAAUAUAGGAAUAAUACUUGACGUCAACGUCGCAUGGAAUUGAAUUCUAGACACACUGAUAAGGGUUGAGUAUAAAUUGUAUAAUAUGCUUGUACAUGUGUAUUUACAUGCAAGCAAGUUUGAACGUAUUUAAAACGGAAAAAAUAAAUGAAAGCAACAACUUUAAAGUAAUAUGUCCUCUCUGUAUGUAUAUGUAUGUAUUUGCAAUCAUUUAAGCCCAUAGUUAAAAACAAAUAUAUACUACAUUACGUAUUUAUAAAUAUAAAGCGUUGUAUAGUAACAUACAUAUGUGCAAGUAGUCAUAUAUAUAUACACACAUUACAUAUACGAGUAUUUUGCAAGUUUAUUGCUAAACAAACAAACACACAAACGAUGUUACAUAACUAUUCCUAUACGUAUCAGUUAAAUUUUUGAUGCAACUACCUAUAUACAUACAUACAUACAAACAAAUAUUUGUUUACGCAAUAAAAGCCAAACGCUACAAACAGCAGUUAAACAAUAA